rnacentral:rRNA from 1 species
AACGUAGGAGGCAAGCGUUAUCCGGAGUUACUGGGCGUAAAGCGCAUGUAGGCGGUUGUUCAAGUGGUGUGUGAAAGCGCCCGGCUAAACUGGGCGAGGACACAUCAGACUGGACGGCUAGAGGGGGCUAGAGGGGCGCAGAAUUCGGGGUGUAGCGGUGAAAUGUGUAGAGAUCCCGAGGAAUACCAGUGGUGAAGACGGCGCCCUGGGGCCUUACUGACGCUGAGAUGCGAAAGCGUGGGGAGCGAACGGG